CGGAAGCUAAAGGGGCUUAUUGUCAGUUUUGAAGACUGAUAGUUUUAUUAACUUAAGCUUCCCA
rnacentral:tRNA from 1 species